AGUCUGUGAUUCAGGCUCUAUCUGCAAAUUUUGCAAGUUGAUUAACAGACGAAACAGAUGUUAAUGCAUACAACUGUUUUUAUUAACUUCAUAAUCAAUUUUGGAGGGUAAGAAGCAUCCUAAAUCUUGCCUCCACCUUCAAACUAAGAACAACAAAAAGAGAGGAGAAUUGACCGGCAGCCAGAAACUGCUGUCCAGUUUUCAUAUAUGGUUGGGCUGGGCAAUCCUUUUCCAGGCCCAUCAUUUUUAAGGUUUGGGCAGGCUGGCCCGUAACUCAUAAUUUGGUGUAGCUCUGAGUAGAGUAGCCGAAAUAGAACAGACUAACAGUUUUUUAUUCAAGUGAUUAUAUCAUCUGUUUUGUGCAGCAGUAAAACUUGCAACCCAGAAACAUUAACCUACUUCCCUUUCUAUUCACCAUCUUUGUAAGCAUCUUAUUAUAGAGCAGUAAAACUUGCAGCUCAGAGAAAUUAAUGCACAAGAGGAAAUUAUAAUCCUACUUCUCUUUUAUAGUCACCAUUUCAGUAAGCGUCUUAGGUGGAAAUGCAAACAAG
rnacentral:misc_RNA from 1 species